GGGCCCGCACAAGCAGUGGAUUAUGUGGUUUAAUUCGAAGCAACGCGAAGAACCUUACCAGGUCUUGACAUCGAGUGAAUAGCUAAGAGAUUAGUGAAGUCCUUCGGGACACUCAGACAGGUGGUGCAUGGUUGUCGUCAGCUCGUGUCGUGAGAUGUUGGGUUAAGUCCCGCAACGAGCGCAACCCUUACUAUUAGUUGCUACGCAAGAGCACUCUAAUGGGACUGCCGUUGACAAAACGGAGGAAGGUGGGGAUGACGUCAAAUCAUCAUGCCCUUUAUGACCUGGGCUACACACGUAAUACAAUGGCAAUCAAACAAAGGGAAGCAAGGGAGCGAUCCCAAGCGGAUCCCAAAAAAUUGUCUCAGUUCGGAUCGCAGGCUGCAACUCGCCUGCGUGAAGUCGGAAAUUGCUAGUAAUCGCGGAUCAGCAUGCCG
rnacentral:rRNA from 1 species